rnacentral:rRNA from 1 species
AAAAUUCUGGAGACUUCGGUCUGCUACCUCUUACCCAUGUCUUUUGAGUACCUUCGUUUCCUCGGCGGGUCCGCCCGCCGGUUGGACAACAUUCAAACCCUUUGCAGUUGCAAUCAGCGUCUGAAAAAACAUAAUAGUUACAACUUUCAACACGUAUCUUUUGGUUCUGGCUUUAAUACACACGCAGCGAAAUGCGAUAAGUAUGUGAUAGUGAAUUUUCGUUGAAUCUUCAAUCUUUUCACCUCUUUUGCGCCCCUUGGUUUUCCCAUGGGGCAUGCCUGUUCGAGCGUCUUUUGUACCUUCAAGCUCUGCUUGGUGUUGGGUGUUUUGUCUCGCCUCUGCGUGUAGACUCGCCUUAAAACAAUUGGCAGCCGGCGUAUUGAUUUCGGAGCGCAGUACAUCUCGCGCUUUGCACUCAUAACGACGACGUCCAAAAGUACAUUUUUACACUCUUGACCUCGGAUCAGGGAGGGAUACCCGCUGAACUUAAGCAUAUCAUA